rnacentral:rRNA from 1 species
AACUGGGAUUAGAUACCCCACUAUGCUUUGCCCUAAACAUUGAUAGCUUUACACAAUUACUAUCCGCCUGGAAACUACGAGCAAUAGCUUAAAACCCAAAGGACUUGGCGGUGCUUUAGACCCACCUAGAGGAGCCUGUUCUAUAACCGAUAACCCCCGUUUAACCUCACCUUUCCUAGUCAUUUCCGCCUAUAUACCGCCGUCGCCAGCUUACCCUAUGAAGGUCCCCAGUAAGCACAAUUGGUACAACCCAGAACGUCAGGUCGAGGUGUAGCGUAUGGAAAGGGAAGAAAUGGGCUACAUUCCCUAUUACAGCGAAUCACGGAUAUAUUACUUGAAACGUGUAUCUAGAAGGAGGAUUUAGCAGUAAGCGGAAAGCAGAGCGUUCCG